GCGCCCUUAGCUCAGCUGGAUAGAGCACGUCCCUUCUAAGGAUGUGGUCAUAGGUUCUUAUAUAGUAUAACUAUGUAGUGCGCA
rnacentral:tRNA from 1 species